rnacentral:lncRNA from 1 species
AUGGCCUGCCUGGGGCUUGGUGGCCGCUGGGACCCAGAGCUGGGGUUCGGGGCGGUGGUGCGGCUGCGAGGGCAUCGGCUAGAGGGGGCUUGCUCUGGGGGGCCCCCCCGGGAGCCUGGCCGGGGUGCUGGCUGCCGCCUGCCCCCAGGCCGGGAACAAUGCGGCCUCUAUCCCCCGAGCCGGCCAGCCAGGCGGGCCUCCCGCAACAUGGCGCCCGGGGCCGCGCCGCCUGUCCACGGGGAGGGCUGGCGCCCGGACCAGCCCGGCCCCCCGCGUCCUCCCCGGGCCGGCCUCGCAGUGGCCAGACGCCGCGGCCGCCCCCUUCCUCCCCCGCUGGGCCGGCCCCGGCCCCCUCCCGCCGGCGAUGGGUUUGGGGGUCCGGCCCACCCGCCGCUGCCACGUCUGCCACCCUCCCAGCACCCACGAGCAUCUUUCAAAAAUUCCCGGUGGGCGGGGCCGAGCCGCAGCGGCCGCCUCUGGCCCCCCCUCCCCGGCAGCCAGUGCCAGAGGAGAGCAGGAGACAAAAGUAGCAUUUUCCUCGCCCUCCUGGGCUGGCGGCGGGGCCUCCCCAGCGCCCUCGGCUCCUGGCCGGCCUGCCUCCGGGUUGCCGGGGUGGCCGAGGCCGCGGCCACGCCGGCCGGGACCGAGGGGACCGGUGGACGCCGGUGGCCACAGCCGAGGCGCCCGAGGGCUGGCGCCCGGGCCGGCCCUCCUCUGCCUGCCGCGGGGCCUGGCUGGGGCGACGGCCGCCGCCUUCACUGCCUUGCUGUGGACCAGCUCUCCGUCCUCCUGCGCCCGGUACCAUCAAGGUGCGAGCCUGGGAGAGGCUGGCCUCCCCUGCCAGACCAACUCGGUGACGAGUCUGCUGUUGCCCGCAGCCUUCCGUGUGGAUCCACCGUGUGCCUGCCAGGCUCUCGGGAACUCCACAUUCGUUUGCUCAGACAGACAACAGCUUUGGACGAACGUGGCUGCUCCAAGAGCACCUCCAGGAAGCUGGACGCCUGUCGUGGCCUUCGGAAGACGCUCCAGCACCAUGUAACCAUGUGGCCAGUCUUUGCCACGUGUCUGGCUGGCAGGGCAGCCCAGGAGGCCUCGUCCCUCCGCCCCGACGCCUUGGUCCUCAGCUGGCGCCCGGAGCUCGGAUGACUGUGCCACCCUCAGGCCAGGGGCAGGGAGGAGUGGCAAUGGCUGGACUCACGGCUCCCAGAGCAGGCUGCUGGUCUCUGCCUUACGUCUGGGGUUCUGCACCAGGCACUGGCUGACGGGGUGAGAGCGAUGUGCCUCUUGUCCACAGGAAGUGGGGAGGGGGGCUCCCCAGAAGGGACAUGAGUCAGGCAAGCAGGACAGGAGUCUUGAGGCGCCAGAGGAGGCUGGGGCUGUUGUGGGCGGCUGUGCUGGGGUCAGGCGGGGUCUCAGUGCUGGAGGAGGUAGGAGAGCUGUGGCCACGCACCCCUGGGGUGUUUCUUGGCAGCUGCCUGUGCCGCCUUUCCCCUGCCCCGGACAGACAGGAGGUGCCAGCCUGGAUCUCGGGGUGGCUGUGCCGGGGUGUCCCUAGAAGGCAGGAGGGCCCCUCAGGCCACUUGGUCAGAGGCUGCCCCGACCUCAGGCCAAUGAGGACCCAGACCCCGUGAGGCAUCCAUUCUGGGGGCCACCCAAGGGCAAUAGGGCCUCUGCGGCCCGGUGACCGGGAGCUCAGGCAGGAGAAGGUUCUGGAGAGGGCGCGGCCCGGCCCUCUCCCCGACCCGGCCCCCUCGGCCCGGGCUGCUUCCUGAGUGGACGGCCGCCUCCUGCCGCGGGCGCCCUGCCCUCGCGCCGCCGCCUUUGUCUUCCCAGAGCCGCACAAAAUGGCCGCCGGCCCCCGCCAUUUUGUGAGCGAGAGUGCGACCCGCCGUCCCCGCGCGGCCUGGCCCGCGCCCAGCCCGGCCCUGGCCGGGGCCACCCCAGGCUUGGCACCGGCCGGCGUCUUGGUGAGGCGUCUGGGAGCCCCGACCCUGCCGGCCCCUCGUGGCCCCGGGCCGGCCCGCCGCGCGGGUGGAGACGCUGCCCGCCAGCGCCCGGGAGCGGCCCCGUCGGGAAGGCUGUGCCCCGAGGGGAGACCUCGCAGCCACGGGGCCGCCGCGGACAGUUCUAGAAAUAGCGGGGUUGCGGGGGAGCGGGCCCCCGGAC